rnacentral:rRNA from 1 species
AGCAGCCGCGGUAAUUCCAGCUCCAAUAGCGUAUAUUAAAGUUGUUGCAGUUAAAAAGCUCGUAGUUGAAUUUCGAGAUCAAAUUGUUGGUCGUGCCUCGGUACGUACUGGCAUUAUUGAUUUCUCCCUUCUGAAGAACCACGAUGUCAUUAAUUUGGUGUCGUGGGGAAUCAGGACUGUUACUUUGAAAAAAUUAGAGUGUUUAAAGCAGGCUCACGCUUGAAUACAUUAGCAUGGAAUAAUGAAAUAGGACGUUUGAUUCUAUUUUUGUUGGUUUCUAGGAUUGACGUAAUGAUUAAUAGGGAUAGUUGGGGGCAUUAGUAUUCAAUUAUCAGAGGUGAAAUUCUUGGAUUUAUUGAAGACUAACUACUGCGAAAGCAUUUGCCAAGGAUGUUUUCAUUAAUCAAGAACGAAAGUUAGGGGAUCGAAGACGAUCAGAUACCGUCGUAGUCUUAACCAUAAACUAUGCC